rnacentral:pre_miRNA from 1 species
CUACCCUGUAGAUCCGGGCUUUUGUAGUUUAAUUUUCAUCAGAAGCUCGUCUCUACAGGUAUCU